GUUAUGGUGCUGGCCGCAGGCCGUCAACUCUGCAGAAAUGUAGUAAAGGCUAGCUCGCGGGCCACCAUGUGAAAUCGAUACGAUGUGAGGCCGCGCCACGCCUUGGCCACCGCAGGGUCAGAUGGUGAGUGACGCCCCUGGGAUUUAACUUGGAUUUUGGGUUGUGAAACUAUCCAUGUAUCUUUGGGACCUGCCUCCUGUGGCAGUCUCCCUUCCUAGCCAUGGAAGAGCAUGUUCUUGUUAUUGGCAAAGCUGUCACCAUUUCAUUGGUACCAGAUUCUGACUUGAGCAAGUAACAUUCAAAGACUGUUAAAAAGUCUGCACGACGCUAGGAAACUGAACUUUAUUUUCUAAAGUAGUGUUGAAAUAUUCCUAGGGAACGGCUGAACUCGUGACUGUUGAAGAGUAGAAGACGUAUUAAGGUACGAUAGUAAUGGCUGAGAACUUCCAGUCACCUUAGAUCUUCAUAUCUAAAUUUUGAAAAUGAACUUUAUGUCAAAUAAAAGGUUGCUUGGUGUGUAAU
rnacentral:lncRNA from 1 species